AAACUAUCAAUCAAAAGCUAUAUUAAAAUUUUAAAAUGAGUUAAUUUUUUAUAUUCGAAUAUUGAUCAAAUUUUUUUUUAACAAAAAAUGCCUCAAAAAUCUAGACCCAUUGACAGACUUGCAAUUAUCUGCGCUGCUGGGAAGGGAAAACAAUUAUCCGAGUCUGUUGGCGACAUUUUCAAAGAAUAUCCACAAGAUGAAUUUGCUGAAAAAUUAGUUAAACAAAAUUUAAUUGCAUUGAAGCCAAUCGAACCUGCAUCACCAUUUAUACCAGAAACCAAUCGCCUUAGAGAUAUUUUGGCUCCAGAUUUAAAUAAAAGUCGUUUUCUUGAAUUCAAAGAUCAAUUUUAUGAAAAACUUUAUUGUAAAAAAGUUCCACUUAGCAAAGCAACACCAACCAAUUCAAAACCUGAUGAUGUAACAAAUGAAAGUGUAACGUUUGGUAGGAUUAAUGCAAAAUCUGAGAAAGUCUAUGAUAUUGUCUUGCCCAAUAGAAGUCCUACGGAAGUUAUGAAAGAAUUUAUUAAAUGGCAUGCCAAGUACAAACUUAGUCACGGAAGCUAUUUCCCGUCAGAACAAAUUAACAGGAGGUACAAUGAAAAUUUUAAUAAAAAUCAAGUCUUUGGAGAGAGUAAGAAUGUUGACACUACUGGGAAAAAGAUCAAGAGUAUACUUCAAGAUGAUCCGAACUCAUCUAAAAUAUGCAUUGUUAGCAAGCCUCAGAAAACAUACAUCAAGCAGCACAAGUCUUUGGUGGGAAAGCCAAUGCGAAGACAAAUGUAUGAUCUACAUCCUGAUACAAUUUUCGGUAGACCAACUCGCGAUGACGAAUUUAAUGUAAAAAAUCUUUUAAGAAGCUCAGUGAGUCCAGAAGAAAUCACAAAAUAUUCAAAUGAUACCACCUAUCGUUUAUUUGUCAAUGACCUUGCACAUUCUCCGGUUGAUUGUAAUAUUCCAGCUGGAAAAACUGAAAGCCUUUACCCGAAGAAAGGUCAAUGUAAAUUUUCCGUUGAGAAUCUUGGUGAAGAAACUACUGUGAAACAACUAAUAUCACCAACAAUUCCAUUACAAUUUGGAUUGAGUCAUAGGGAUUUUCUUAUGCCUCGUUCAAAAGAACAAAUACGAAGAAUUUUCACUAAAGCCGGUUUUGAUUUGAGUGAUGAUGAGCAUUUUGAAAAGGUUUGGUCUUUGGCACUGUCACAAUGGGCAUCAAUUGGAGAUUCGGCAUCAGUUGAAGCUUUCAAAUAUGCUUUAAAUGAAAUUAAGAACUCUACAAACGGAGAGCUUGGAAACGAACUAAGUUGUAGACUGCUCAUUGCAAUGAACCUGUUAUAAAAAAUGCUUGAACUAAAAUGCUUCCAAAGAAAUUUUUUCAACAAAUUUGAAAUAGCAAGAACAAAUUUCUUACCUUCAACAGACGACAGAUCACUAAAUGAAUGUGGAUGUGGAUUGUGGACUUCCCCGGUUUGUUUUCAAUUUUUAAACCAAAAGCUGAGAAAAGAAAACAAACAAGAUUUAAAAGCUUAGAACCAAGCAGCGUUGCCACCACGGAGUAACUCACGCCACAGCAUUUUCAAACACUGGCGGACGGACAGUUUAGCAUUUAAACUACUGAAACCGUCUGAUAUUUUUCUGUUUCUCUUAAUUGAAAGAGAUUCACACUUGUACUACACCAGUGCAGCGCCCCCUCACUAUAUUUAAAAUAUAACAAAGCAAAAAACUCUACAAAAAAAAACAAAAAAAAAAAAAGUACAUCAGAAUGGCAGCGCAACCCCG